CAGGGAGUGCGCGGGAAUGGCGGCGGUGCGGGCUAGCCCGGAGCCGCUGCUCCAGCUGCCUUGCUCAGCACCGGCCCUGCCCUCGACUUCUCCCCUGGGAGCCGCCCGGGGUGCGCAGUGCCCCGCAGAGCCGCGCCUCACGGUGCGGAGUGGAUUGCGACGUAGCCGAGACGCGAAAGCUCCAGCGGGCGCGCCAGUAAUGCAAAAUAAUGCAAAAUAGGUGUUAAACGCAACUGUUUGUUGGACGUUUAUCUCCGUGUUUUGGAAGUGCCCUGUAGAAGCUGCUAGCUUCAGCUGAGCCCGUAGUAGCCAGUGGCAAGCACAGGCCCUCGGGUGAGGAACUAACUUGGGCCCUCAGGGGAUAACACCGCCGAAUGUCCAAGGAACUGCAGCUCCCAAUUCUCGCAAGGAGGCAAAUGCCGACUUUACUUUGGGGCGUCACUAAAAUGUGCUGGAAGAACCCCCGUGAAUGAAGAAGUACUGAGGAUCAGGAUGUGUUAUUUCUGUGGAGAAGCUGUAGUUGACAUCUAAGAGAAGGGGCCAGUUUCCCAAGCCCUGUAUGGGCUGUCAGUGAGCAGCACUGUGCGGCACUGACUCCAUCUCCAGAACACCCGUAUUCUUCCUGGCUUUCAGCGAGAAGCUACUCCUGAAAUAUUGGGAAGGAAGAAAAGUGCAUGCACUGAAGGAUGCCACAAGAGUAUUUAUGCAGCUGUGACUGAAGUAUAGUUUAAAAGCCACGGAAUGCACCCACUAGGAUGUGCUGUCGGCCUAAAAUUGAAGCCCCGGUAUUUAAGAACCUGAAAUUUCAAAAUUCUUAAGUGUGAUAUGUACAUAAUCCCCAUAGUAUUCUCAUCUGGAGAUUUCAGAAAAGUACAAAAUACAGGGUUUUGUAAGAAAAGGCAUGGGGUGGUUGAAUGAUAGGCAGGCAAAUUUUCCUAUCAUGCAACUAUCCUUAGCUGGCACACUUGAAGUGAGGGUUUCCCAAAGGAGUGUCACAGCCAUGACCGUAUUACAUUUAUUCAAUAUCUAACAUUAGAACUUCUUCAGCUGGAAAUUUUUGUGCGAAGGUGUGGUCCCUGUGCUAAGACCUCCUGUAUAUAUCACAUGGUCAAUAAAUGUGAUUUACACACACAAAAAUGAAAUGUGUUCUAUAGUGAA